GUGCUCACUUCGGCAGCACAUAUUCUAAAACUGGAAAGAUACAGAGAAGAUUAGCAUGGCCCCUGCACAAGGAUGACACGCAAGUUCGUGAAGCAUUCCAUAUUUUU
rnacentral:snRNA from 1 species